AGAGUUUGAUCCUGGCUCAGGACGAACGCUGGCGGCGUGCUUAACACAUGCAAGUCGAGCGAUGAAACUUCUUCGGAAGUGGAUUAGCGGCGGACGGGUGAGUAACACGUGGGUAACCUGCCUCAUAGAGGGGAAUAGCCUUUCGAAAGGAAGAUUAAUACCGCAUAAGAUUGUAAUACCGCAUGGUACAGCAAUUAAAGGAGCAAUCCGCUAUGAGAUGGGCCCGCGGCGCAUUAGCUAGUUGGUGAGGUAACGGCUCACCAAGGCGACGAUGCGUAGCCGACCUGAGAGGGUGAUCGGCCACAUUGGGACUGAGACACGGCCCAGACUCCUACGGGAGGCAGCAGUGGGGAAUAUUGCACAAUGGGCGCAAGCCUGAUGCAGCGACGCCGCGUGGGGGAUGACGGCCUUCGGGUUGUAAACUCCUUUCGCCAGGGACGAAGCGUUAUAGUGACGGUACCUGGAUAAGAAGCACCGGCUAACUACGUGCCAGCAGCCCGCGGUAAAUACGUAGGGUGCAAGCGUUGUCCGGAAUUACUGGGCGUAAAGAGCUCGUAGGUGGUUUGUCACGUCGUCUGUGAAAGUCCAGCGCUUACCCCUGGGAUUUGCAGGCGAUACGGGCUGACUUGAUUGCUGUAAGGGAGACUGAAAUUUCUGGGGUGGAACGGUGAAAUGGCGCAAAAUACCGGGAGGAACACCCAAUGGCGAAGGGCGGGGUCUUCCGGGGCAGGGACUGACCCUGAAGAACCGAAAACCUGGGGAACCCCAAAAGGAUUAGAAUCCCCGG
rnacentral:rRNA from 1 species